rnacentral:rRNA from 1 species
AUGAAACGAGAUGUUACAGAGUUUGUGCAAGGCUGCACCGUGUGUCAGCAGGCCAAGCCGGAACACUGUCGUCAACCUGGACUUCUUCAACCUCAUGAGAUUCCCCCUCAUCCGUGGCACACUAUAAGCUGGGAUUUCGUGGAAGGGUUGCCUAAGUCAAACGGGUUUGAAGUGAUUUUGGUUGUCAUUGAUAAGCUCACCAAGUUUGCCCACUUUCUGCCGCUCAAGCACCCAUACACAGCUCACCAGGUGGCCCUCGUGUUCUUCGAUCAAGUGUACCGCCUCCAUGGCAUGCCAGCAAGGAUCAUCUCCGACCGGGAUCCGGUCUUCACAAGUACGUUCUGGCAGGAACUGUUUCGACUUUCAGAUACCAUCCUCAACAUGAGCUCAUCCCGACACCCCGAGACAGAUGGUCAGACUAAACGCCUCAAUCAGUGUCUCGAGGCUUUUCUUCGGUGUUCGAUUCAUGACAAGCCUGCCCAGUGGUCCAAAUGGUUGACAGCAGUGGAACAUUGGUACAACACAUCGUAUCACACAGCAGCGGGAUGUACUCCAUUUGAAGCAUUAUAUGGGUAUCUUCCUCGACCAUUUGGGAUAUCAGCUCCGGCGUCUACUACUGACCUCCAAGACUUGGUGGCCGAUCGGGAAGCAAUCAGAGAGCUGCUACGACAACACUUGACGCGAGCUCAAGCAAGGAUGAAACGGCAAGCGGACAAGCAUCGCACGGAACGCUCCUUCCAAGUGGGCGAUCAAGUGUUCUUGAAGGUUCAACCCUACCUCCAGAACUCCCUCGCGGCACGCCGUAACCAGAAGUUGGCGCUGAAGUUCUACGGGCCGUACCAAGUCCUCCAGCGAGUCGGUGCAGUCUCUUACAAGCUCCAGCUGCCAGCCAACUCCAGGAUCCACGACGUCAUCCAUGUUUCCCAGCUCAAGAAGCAAGUUCCUCCACGGUUCUCCGUCGAGCCGGACAUGGGCAUGGUCGAACAAAGGAGCUUGACACUACUUCAACCGGCGACGAUCUUGCAGAUGAAGCUCGUUCAGCAAGGCGGUGCGGUCAAGCCAAAGUUCAAGAUUCGCUGGAAGGAUCGCCCAGACACCCACGACACUUGGGAAGACGCAAUGGUGAUGCAUCAGUUUUCUUGUCUGACGGCUUGGGGACAAGCCGCUCCUAAAGGGAUGGGGAGUGUUAUGCAGCAGCCCAGCCCAGGAAGAAGGCCCAAGGCCUCACGACGCUCCAGGCUGCUGGACCGGGCCUGGAGGGCUGAGAAGGACAAGAGAGAAGAGACCGAAGACAAAGGGGGGCUCGCUGGAACAGAGGAGGGGGUCGACUAG